GCCACUGCAUCUGAUCCGCAUCGAAUGCCCUCUCGCCUCGACUAGCUUACACUUGUCUUUUCCUCGCCAUUUCACGCACUCCCUUCCUCGAAGUUUCUUUGCUUUUCCUUUUAGCACCCAUCGAUCAGUCUCGCUUGAAACAAACUUCUUCUUAGCAUCCUCUUCCAGCAUAUACAGUCUCUCGCCCUCUCUCUCAGAUUUAACCAUAUUGAAAGUGCAUAUGGAAAUGAUGAUAUCAGCUAAAUUCUGAGAAAUUUUUUUGGCUUUAGCUAAUCUAGGUUCUAUUGAUUGAUUGUUUAUGUAUAUUCUGUUGGAUUCUAAAGUUUUCUGUAUUUAAAUUUUUAGAUGGCUUCAUCAGCUCUAAUCUGCGACACCCAGCCA
rnacentral:misc_RNA from 1 species